rnacentral:lncRNA from 1 species
ACUAGUUGAAUGUUCCUAGAAGGUCCUAUACCAGUCAAGCGCCGUCCUUUUGCCUCUUAAUGCGCAUGCUUCAGCCCACGCACCCAAAUCCUGAGCUCUUAUCCGAAAGCUGCUGAUCACCAGCUUCAGGUGUUUUCUGUCUGUUGGGAGCCUGCCUUUCCCUGGCACCGGCUGUCACCAAUUAUUUUAGAGAGACAGUGUAACAACCACCUGACCAUCUCACCUGAUGGUUGCUGGGGGGCGUUCUUCUGCCCUGCUUAUGUGUGCCUGACUACCUACUGUAACAAGAGGAGCCCUGCCCUGAAGACAGCGCAAUACAGGGAAGAAGGGAUCGCUUCAGACCAGGAGGGCCUCACUGCAAGACUCCUGACAAGAGUGCCUGACACAUGGUGGCAGCUUCUGUGCCAAAUUCAAAUGCCCAGGGCUUCCUUUGCCCAUGGCUGCUGGUGCCCCCCAGUGGAACUGGCAGUGACAAAGGCCAUCACCUGGUGGAAAUGCUGCUCCUGCUGCCAAGUCAGAAGCGGGUGUGGAAGGACUGGAAGGGGUGUUAGAAAGCAGAUGACCUUCUGAAGUGAUCUGUGUUCGACGGCAUGAGAAAUUUCACCAGCUGAUCUGAUUUAUCUUCCUAUGUAUCUGAUGAAUGGUUUAUCCAGGGACUGGCAAAAGGAGAAAAACAAGAUGCAGAGGAAUGAGACUGAGAGUACCACAGUGUGAACAGUUUCCCCAAAGUGCUUCAUUUUGGCUCCAGAUUACCCAGAGCUCCUAGGGAAACUGAGCCCGCACCUCGCGCGCCUCUCUGCUACUCCCAGCGAGCGCAGCUGCAGCCCGGAGACGCCGGUAUCCAGCGCCAGGUCUUCCACGCCCGACCCCUCCCGGGUCUGGGGCGCUGGACACCCGUCCUCCUCCUUUCGCCGGGAUUGGCCACGCUGGUAGCGUCGCGGUGUCCAGGUCAGGUGAGUGGGUCGGGCUGCCAAGGGCGCCCAGAGAGAGGACUGCUCUGCAGGGCGCAGGCGUCGCGUGUCGCCGAGGGGCGCGGCAGGGGCCGGCGGCUGGGGCUCCCUCGCGGGGUGUGUCCUGUCCCAUGCUGCAGCGUCGGGUUGUCCAGGAUCUAGCAGGGCGUGGCUGGGCCUUCUGCAGGGGCCGCCGUCCAUGCCCCGGGCUCGGACCACCUGCUUCUCGGCCCUUUACAGACCUCCCAGUGGCUGGGAGGGGAGGUGGGCUCAGCGGACAAAUUCAGUGUCUUUCCGUUUUUGCACCCUCAAACAGGUGGGAGAAGAGGUCCGCUCCAAACCUGAGAGCGGGCCGCACCCUCCCACCUGGGCUCUUCCUUCUAACGUCGGGGCCGAGUGGGAUUCGCUUUCGCCUAGAUCUCGGUGGGUCGGGCCCCGCGCCCCGGGUUUUACAGGCAGCAGGUUUAGCCUCUUGGAGACGCCGGACCUCGCAGACAGGUGCCCAACUCCAGAAACAGCCCAGAGGAAAGGGUGUUGGGGGCUUGAGGUGCAUUUAGGAAGACACUUUCUGGAGGCACUUAUUGACACCGUUCAGGUGUAGGCAGACCCCAAAGCAGGGGUGAGAUGAGUGCCGGUUCCAGGGUGACCCAGACACGCACAGUUCCCGAAGGGUGAAGGCGGUGCCUGGAGAUAUAGCCCGGCGCCCAGCACUUGUUAAACCACCUGGCCAGGCAGGUGCUCCUGGUUAGCCCCCUAUGAUUGGAAAGUCGAUUUUAAGCCAUUUUAACUUAUGCAGACUCUUUCUUGGUCAAGAUACUGUGAACCAGUUUGGAGGGGGCGCCACUUAGCAUCUGAGUUGCAUCUCUUUCAGGAAGGAUUCUAACCCUCCGAUUUUGCUUCAGAAUUUUUGCCAAACCGGGUCCAGCCUCUCUGUUGAAGCUGAUCUGCCCACACCAGUUCUGAAACAGGAGUCAAUGUUACUUACCUUUCUUGCUUCUACCAAGCAGUGAUUUCUAACACCUUCUAGUGUGAAGACACCUUUAUGAUGUCUGUUUUAGAACGGCACGUAGUCAUUGUACUUGGUAUAGUGACAGACUAUGAGAAAGCUACCAGGAAUUUAAUAUGAAAAUAAAUACAUUCAUAAAUAAAUUGCUUAUGUAUUCACAGCAAGCAUUUCCUUAAAUUUGGAAAGUAAGGUUUGAGACUCAUCUGCAGAUAAUGUGUAGAAUCCACAUGCACUUUUGGUCCCUGGACCAAGAAUCAUCAUUGUUCAAGUUGUCACUCACCUGAUGUGAGUCUUUGAGGGCUGACUGCAACCUUGUGAUCCUUCUGGGAGAAUCUGUGGGAAGAGGGAGCAAAAGAGUUACUAGUUUAUGAGCAUUUAUGUGGUGGGUAUUGUGCGGAGCGGUUUUGUGCUCACUUAAUUCCUGAACCUUCGUAGCGUCACUUAUUUACUACCCGCAUUUUAUGAACAAGAAAACUGAAGUCCAGAGAGAGGAAGGAACUCUCCCAAGGUCGCGCUUCUAGUAAGUGAUCCAACUGAAACUUCAACCCAAGUAGCCUGUUGACUGAGCCUGAGCUCCCAUGUUAGUUACUGACAUCGACUACUCUCAGUUUAAUAGUUUUCUUCAAGUCAUGUGAG